UAAGGAAUAUUGGACAAUGGACGCAAGUCUGAUCCAGCCAUGCCGCGUGAAGGACUAAGGCCCUCUGGGUUGUAAACUUCUUUUAUAGGGGACGAAAAAGGGGCUUUCUAGCCCAACUGACGGUACCCUAUGAAUAAGCACCGGCUAACUCCGUGCCAGCAGCCGCGGUAAUACGGAGGGUGCAAGCGUUAUCCGGAUUCACUGGGUUUAAAGGGUGCGUAGGCGGGCAGUUAAGUCAGUGGUGAAAUCUUGGGGCUCAACCCCGAAACUGCCAUUGAUACUAUCUGUCUUGAAUACUGUGGAGGUCAGCGGAAUAUGUCAUGUAGCGGUGAAAUGCUUAGAUAUGACAUAGAACACCGAUUGCGAAGGCAGCUGGCUACACAAAUAUUGACGCUGAGGCACGAAAGCGUGGGGAUCAAACAGGAUUAGAUACCCGUGUAGUCC
rnacentral:rRNA from 1 species